rnacentral:misc_RNA from 1 species
ACUUCUCAACCAUACAGGUUUUGAAACCUUUUAUGGCUUGGACCUUGGGAUUUGCGGGCUUUUUAUAAAGUCGGCUAUCCUUAAAUGCAUUAGCAGAGCUUUUGCCGCUGACCUCUGGUGUGAUAAUUAUCUACGCCUUUGAGUUGCGACAUACCGAAGCUUGGCUUCUAAUCGUCCGCAAGGACAAUAUUUGACA